rnacentral:rRNA from 1 species
GAUCAUGGCUCAGGAUGAACGCUAGCGGCAGGCUUAACACAUGCAAGUCGAGGGGCAUCGGGAGUAGCAAUACUUGCCGGCGACCGGCGCAAGGGUGCGUAACGCGUGAGCAACAUGCCCGUAUCAGGGGGAUAAUCCAUGGAAACGUGGUCUAAUACCCCAUAGUAAUUAUGUAAGGCAUCUUAUAUAAUUUAAAGCUUUGGUGGAUACGGAUUGGCUCGCGUGACAUUAGCUAGGAUGGUAAGGUAACGGCUUACCAUGGCUACGAUGUCUAGGGGUUCUGAGAGGAAGGCCCCCACACUGGAACUGAGACACGGUCCAGACUCCUACGGGAGGCAGCAGUGAGGAAUAUUGGACAAUGGAUGGAAAUCUGAUCCAGCCAUGCCGCGUGCAGGAAGACGGCCCUAUGGGUUGUAAACUGCUUUUGUAUGGGAGCAAUAAGGGCUACGCGUAGUCCGAUGAGAGUACCAUACGAAUAAGCACCGGCUAACUCCGUGCCAGCCGCGGC